AGCAGCAACAGCCAGGUAACCAACAACAGAAGCAAACAUUGGAUUUCAUCAUCUGAGCAAAAUGACCUUAAUCAGAUCAGUAAAUACUGGCUGGAAAAUGUAACAGAAUUUCAGAAAGCUGUGAGCCCGGUAUUACAGCUGGUACCGGAUUUAUCACAAUAAUGCACUUUGCUAUUAGAAGGUGAGUGAGUUCCGAAAUGAAUGUAUUAAUAUUAGAGGGUUAUCUUAAUUGACGGGAGUUCCUCCUUAUAAUACCAGUACAUCGUGUUCUUACUCUCGGCCCAGCCAUAGGUGGGAAGAGCUGGCACAUGCUCCCCAUGCGGGCAGGUUGCCACAUGUUAAUUCAUUGCUGAGUGAAGAUUAGACACUAGCGAUAAUUACUACUAAGGAGGUCCCCUGUCUCCCUGCCCACAGUGUAUUAUAACUGCAGCUAUAAGGUUAUGGUGUAAGGAGGUCCCCUGUCUCCCUGCACACAGUGUAUUAUAACUGCAGCUAUAAGGUUAUGAUGUAAGGAGGUCCCCUGUCUCCGCGCACACAGUGUAUUAUAUCUGCAGCUAUAAGGUUAUGGUGUAUGGAGGUCCCCUGUCUCUCUGCACAUAGUGUAUUAUAACUGCAGCUAUAAGGUUAUGAUGUAAGGAGGUCCCCUGUCUCCGCGCACACAGUGUAUUAUAUCUGCAGCUAUAAGGUUAUGGUGUAAGGAGAUUCCCUGUCUCUGCGCACACAGUGUAUUAUAACUGCAGCUAUAAGGAUAUGGUGUAAGGAGGUCCCCUGUCUCUGCGCACACAGUGUAUUAUAUCUGCAGCUAUAAGGUUAUGGUGUAAGGAGGUCCCCUGUCUCCCCGCACACAGUGUAUUAUAACUGCAGCUAUAAGGUUAUGGUGUAAGGAGGUCCCAUAUCUCCCCGCACACAGUGUAUUAUAACUGCAGCUAUAAGGUUAUGGUGUAAGGAGGUCCCCUGCCUCCCUGCACACUGUGUAUUAUAACUGCAGCUAUAAGGUUAUGGUGUAAGGAGGUCCCCUGUCUUUGUUCGCACAAAACAAAUGCUACCAAUGAGCCAGGGAACCGUUCAUGGUUUUGUUCGGUUUGGGACUCCCGAAAUUGACCAACUGCUACCCUUGAAACUAUGGAACUAUUUUGGGCAAGCGUCUCGUGAGUGGUUGGUCAAAAAUUUCCCCCGGUGGCGUCUGAUUACCCAUUGGAUUUACUUGUAUGCUGUAUUUUACCAUGGAGAAUGUAUGAAUCGGAACCCAAACUUUGAGCUAUAAUCAUAAAGGAUCUAGCAGUUCGGGAAGAAGCGAACGAACGGGUAUCUGAAAUACCAGCGUUCGUUACACAUGCCACAGUGUUAGAGAGACUGAUACAGCAAGAGCAUUUACAUGCAAAGUCAGCUUUACCUUAACUAAUUUCAUUGUCAGCCAGUGUACAUACGUUUUGUUCCCCUACAUCCCUCUUAAGUUUCCAUAUGCAUGUAAAGAGUAGUAAAAAACAAACAAACAUUGAUUUUAAAAAAUAUUCAAUUUUAUUUUAUUUUUUUAAUUAAUGGGCCUAUUCCUUAUGCAACUCCAUCAGCCCCUAUGUUAAUCCGGUCCUGCUUGUAGUCCAGGCCAGUGGACGAACUACCAGGGUUACAACGGUCUAUUUCUUGUUCAUUUAAUCAAGGCCCCCCUCUGGCCUGCCCCCACUCCCCUGAUUAGCAUACGGCAGGGUAGCGGUUGGGUAGGGAUUAAUUAAUAAGAAUUGGCAUGGAUUGGCAGGGGUAAGAGAAUGAGCAUUGCUAAAAUGAAAAGCUUAGAAUUCAUAAUGAAUAAGACUGGAUUAGGGACUGAGAAAUCAGGUUAUAAAUAAUGGGGGGUUAACGAAUAUGGCAGGGGAGUUGGGAGUGAUUAAUUAAUUCAUUAUUUUGACACAGCAGCACCACAAACACAACAAAAAAAUCACAUACAUUGCACACAAUACAUCCAUACUGUGUGUAGAUUGCCACCAUAUUUAUACAAACAGACAAAGACACACUAUAGACAAACAUUCGCACAGAGACAAUCACACAUGAAUGUACAGAGAGAUGAUUUCUUUAUUAAACAAACAAAUAUUUUUGUGUGGGGGUUGUGCCUGGAAAUCUAUUGCCUUCAGGCUCCUGAGCUGUGUAUCCAGCCCUGACAGAGAUGUGUACAUUAUUUUAAAUGUUACAUGUGGUUCCUGUCGCCAAAGGCUGUGUAAUAUCUGCAGAGUCAGGUCUCCAAGUGCAGCUGCACGUGUGGCGCUACGUACACUACCAGGGAACAUGCACACCGGUAAAUAGAAUUUUCAGGAUGAAAAUAAUUGGCUAAAAUGUUCCAAAUUAAUUUCUCAACUAAAUCGUUAAAUAUCUACAGGAAAUAAGCACUGAAAGACGAACAUCAUUAUUUACAAAAGACAGAAUUUUCCAAAAUAGCCAAACACAGAGCUUAGCUUACUUAGAGAUUUCUCCCAGUUGCGCUUUUUUGACUUUACUUUUGAAAUUCACUUUGACUUCUUACUCAAAUAAUACAAAUAAAAGAAAAUGUAUAAAAAAAAGGAAAAGUCACAAAAUAGAAAUAACUCCAAUUAAAUGUGUCACCGACUUCAAAAAGUAAAUAGGACAAAUAAAAAUAAAGAAUAAAACUAAUUGGGACCACGAGAAGGGAAUGCUGACCAGUGAUGCUCUCAUCGUGGAGUUUCCUACUGUCAGGGUUAUUCACUUCAGGGCGAAUUCAAAGCGGCCUUCAAAGUUAAGGUCAAAAUAGCGAAAUUGGAAACAUUCUCCAAGUCAGCAAUGCUUUCAGUUUGGCUGCUCUGGCCUUAAAUAUUAAACUCACUUUGAAUUGUCACUUUGGUUAACUUACCUUGCAGGUCGGCGUUUGAUAGAUCGACGUACGUCUCUAUAAGCAAUGUCUUACAGUGUUAUUCAGUAAACAUUGGAAGAAUAAAAUCUGAUGAAAAGACUGAAUGCUGACUGGAAUGGCAAAUCUCAUAUUUACUAAACCCAAAUACAGGAAUUUAGUCAGUCCGAGAUAAUCUAGCGCAAUUGCCUGGCUUAAUUCGGCGUUCGUAUUAAAAUCAAUGUUUUUAGAAUCCAAACCCCAUGCAAAGUACAACGUUUAAACCUCUCUUAUAGUAAAAUGGGGGUCUUAUUGAACCUUUAGGCUUUUAAAAAUGUAUUUAUCUAACUGUUUUUUAACCCUUGCAGCAUCAAGGGUUAUUAACUCUUUGCCUGCUGGCUGCUAGCACUAACAGCAGACAAAAAGUUGGAAUUUUAUUUAAAAAAAACGUUCACAGAUUUGAAGUAUUUGGGUCAGGGUUACAGCCAUCUGGCAAACGUUACAUUUUUACUGUAUAUUUCAAAAGCAUAAAAUAGGGUAAUGUUUGUCACUUUUGACACAUGAAUUUGGCUGGUGAUUUUACCAGCUAGUGUCCUGGCUACGUCCAGUUUGGCCGAUGGUGCUUACAGAGAGAUUUUCACAUUGUGUAACGCAGUCCGUGUACUGCGCAGACUCCAUGCUCCAGAGUGAAUCAAGCAGUUUGAGAAGUGUCUGGCGCUGAGGGAGUUACUGAUCGCAGCUGGUUUUAUUCUUGGUUGGUCACCACAGCAACGGCAUAGGGACAUCAUGUCACAUCCAAGCGCUUGUGUAAGAUGGACUGGGACCUUGCCGAAAUCUAGCUAGAACUGGCUCAUGUUUAGAUUACCUUGAAUUCCUGAAAUGAGUAACACAGCUGGAAUAAGCCACUGUGAACCGGUUAUGGAAAGCUCAGUAUUUCAUUUACAUCCACACAGAGGACUAUCCAAUUUAUUCUGUAUUUUUACCUUUAGCUGGCCAGGGUGCAAACAGACACAUGAAACGCAAACGAAUCUCUGUUUAAAUAUUCUCAGAAAACCUGGCAACGGACCGUAUCACUGAAACUGUGACCACUUCCUGAUUUCACUAUCUGGAGGAUAAACUGUGCUGUGUGCUCAGGGAAUAUAAUCAUCAAUCCUUCUAUGGAAUAAACGUUUUACUUUUCACUGUUCCGAGGUCAGAUAAUAAUACUGCUAUAAAACAAUAGUUACAUUUUGUACACAUAAAAUAUACAUAAAUAUACACAUAUAAAACGUAAUUAUUGUUUUUAUUGCCGUUUUAAAUGUUCCUUUUUAUAACAGAGCUCCACAGCAAUAAUACUCCCAGUAACAGAGCUCCACAGUAAUAAUACUCCCAGUAAUGUGUCCGAGUGUAUAACAGAGCCCCACAGCAAUAAUACUCCCAGUAAUGUGUCCAAGUGUAUAACAGAGCUCCACAGCAAUAAUACUCCCAGUAAUGUGUCUCACUGUAAAACAGAGCUCCACAGCAAUAAUACUCCCAGUAAUGUGUCUGAGUGUAUAACAGAGCUCCACAGCAAUAAUACUCUCAGGAAUGUGUCUGAGUGUAUCACAGAGCUCCACAGCAAUAAUACUCCCAGUAAUGUGUCUGAGUGUAUAACAGAGCUCCACAGCUAUAAUACUCCCAGUAAUGUGUCUGAGUGACGUCAUCUUCCGGCUCCGGUAUCAGUGCGGUGCGCUAGGGAGCUGAAGAGGGAGCACUGAGGGGAGAGUGCUCCCUCGCGCGCCUGCAGGAGCGGCCGCCCGGUGACACCAGGGCCAGCCUUGUGGGGCCCUGAGGUGGCUAGCUCCUGGGCCCCCCAGGAGAAGAGGCUGUCCAUACUGGGUACAUACAGGGUCGCAGGGCAGCCGGGCCUCCUGGUGGGCCAGGGCCGGUUGCAGCCACGACCCCUGCGACCCCGGUAUGUACGCCACUGCCCACAACCGUCCUUUGUAACGCCUUUCUCCUCUGCUAUCUAUUUAUACUGAUUGUCUUGCAUGCUGAUAACCUCCCCCCCUCCCCCCCCCCAUCUGUUAUAUGAGCGAUUACCUUUUGAACUUACAAUACAAAUAUUAUUGUUUUUGUACAUUUAUUUGAUAUUUUUCUCUAAGAUAGGGGUAUUUAUCCAUUACCUACAGUUUUUUUUAUACAAUUUACAUGUAAUUCUAUAAAAGGUUUCUUACCAAGGUUUGCAACAUUUAGUUUCUCAACCCCCUUUGUGUUCACAACUAAUUUCCCUUUGGACUGCUACAUGCUGAGUCUGUAUUAAUUGGAACUGUAGCAGUUUUUGGGAAGUAUAUGUUAUGCACCAAUGUUAGAAUUGGAUACAUGGUUUAUUUAGUGUGUUAUAUGUCCCACCUAAGAGUUAUUUAAUAUAUCGACGGUAAUUAUUUUUCAUUGUUUUAGCUGGUAUUUAUUAUUAAAGGUAUAUAUAUUUUAUAGGAACGUUUGUUUCCUCUAAUUAUUUGUGGAGCGCACAUGCUACAUAUUUUUUGUUAUUUUUCCUAUAUGCCAAGUCGCUUGCUGGCAUAUAGCUGCCCAAAUUUAUUAUCUAUCAUAGUUACCACCCCCAUGUUUAAGUAAAUCAUAUUUUAUUCCACAUUAAAUCAGAGUAGACUGGACAGAAUCUGUUUCAAAAAUUUCACAGAAAAGCUACAGCAAUCAAUCUGAUUUGGAUUGCCACUCCCUGAUCCUCAGGCUGCUGUGAUAUAAAAAUGGAUGGGAAACCCUUCGUGUGUAAUUAAACUGUGUCUGCAUGUGUCCUGCUUGCCAUCAAACAGGCUGUUCCUGGGAGACAGGUGUACACAUUAUUGCUUGGCUCUCUAGUGACGUUUCUGUGGCUGCUAAUGAAAUAAUAGUAAAUAGUUACCAGUGACACUAGUUGGGUAUGGUUAUUAUUGUGCCCCAUGCACACGGUUAUAGCUAAUUACUAAUUCCUGGACUGGAUUGCCGGUUUGAUCACAAACUGCUGGAAGCUCUUACAGGACCAGACAAAUGACAAAUGUAAAAAAGUAAAUAAAAUACAUUUUAUUUAAUAAUAGUAACAAUUAUUCAAAACAUGAUCCUAACUAAUAAAAUGAUCAUUUGUAUAGGGCAAUAGAUAUCUGUCAACUAAAUUCUGGAGUACCUCUUAAAUGCAGUGAGAUAAGACAUACCCCCCAACAUUUCACAUGGACAGAGAGGGAGUCUUUCAUUGUGUGGGGUGUGAGUGGGGGUUGGCCAGGGGCAGGGCUGUUUUGAGAAAUUAUAGGUGACUUACUAAUAAUGUAUGCAAUGUAACAAUGUAUCUUACUUACACCUGUAGGUUUCUUCAUUGGGCUUCACACACGUUUACUGUGUUUUUUGUUAGAAAAUUCAGUGGAGGAUGUUUUCAUCAACAAUCCACGUUGUUCGUUUGGACAAUCACAAGACAUGGAAAAAACGUGAAUGCCAAACUGGACCAAUAACACCGGAACCUAUAAUGUCCAUUUCUCCAUACAUCGCCCCG
rnacentral:lncRNA from 1 species